ensembl:lncRNA
CAACAGUCUCUACAGCACUUCACCAAUCUGGGUUUUAUAGGAGAGUGGCCAGACGGAAGCCACUCCUGAGAAAAAGGCGCAUGACAGCACGUCUGGAGUUUGCAAAAAGGAUGUGGCAUGUUCCUGAACUUUGGGAAUGUGAGCACAACUAGUGCAAACCGUGGAGACUGGCUAACCGAGAACGUGAAACUCGAUGCGAAAGGAGGCAGAGAUGAUCGCAACUAUCUAUGGGUGUCGCUGAAAAUGCGGUCUGAAAACCCGUUUCUGUCCCUGGUCCUGCCCAGUAUACUGAUCAUUGUGGCAGAUGUGGUGAGCUUCUCCCUGCCACUGGGAGGGGGCGGCGUAUCUCAUUCAAGGUUACACUGGUUCUCAGCUUCAUCAUGUUCCUCAUCAUCCUCAACGACCUACUGCCUGGAGGAGGCCAGUGCAGCCCCAUCAUCCGAAAGCACUUCUGUUUCUGUUUGGUCAUCCUGGUGUUGAGCACGUUGCAGUCUAUGGUGCUCACACGCCUGGCUAAGUGUGGCACUCUCUGGCCCUGCAGCCUCUCCAAGUCCAAAGACUCACUACUUAAAGACACAGACAAUGAAGAGGAAUCCAAGUCUGAUAUUAAAGCCUCAGCGGAAGAGAAGAAUACAGCCCUCCAGAAGGUGGUGAAGUUUCUCAACAAAAUGGCUGCACAAGACCAGAAAAAUGCUAUACACCAUCGCUUUGCCAACAAAGUGGACUUGAUCUGUUUCUGUAUCUAUCUCACCAUUCUCAUUGUUUAUGCAGUCGUCAUUUUAUAUUUCUCCUUUGGUUCUCAAUGUAAGAUCAACCAAUUAGAUUUCUGGUCAUAAAUUCUUUAUUCGCUUUUAACAACCAUUUUAAAAAUAUUGGUGUAUUUGGGUCUUCAGAAGUUUUGCAAGCACAAACAAAAAGCUAGUUGUUUUGCAUUUCUGGGUAAAAUAACUAGAUGUGUUUAUUCUGAAGUAGGGCUUUAACAAUAUUUAUUUAAACAUGUUUAGAACUAGCCAGUCAUAUGUGUAAUAAUACAUUUAGCAAUUAGGGCUCUAAUGAAUACAUGUAAUGGGGACUGUAG